UUACGGUCAUAUCGUGUUGAAACGCCGAUUUUCUUGCGAUCACCGAAGUUAAGCAAUGUUCAGCCUGGGCAGUGCCUAGAUGGAUGGCCACUUGGGAACACCAGGUGCUGUAA